AUUCCAUGAUGAGGGCACUUUCAUAAUAACUCUUCGUACAUUUCCCAUGCCUCAUACAGGGACUCAUCAUCCAUUUGUUAGAAGGUAGUGAUUUCAAUCCUCAACUU
rfam:Gossypium raimondii chromosome 2, whole genome shotgun sequence.